CUGGGGAAUCAUCCUCUUUUUUAAAUCCAGGAGGAAGAGCAGGCCCAAAAAAGCCAUCGUCGUCAUCAUCGUUUUCCUGAAUUCUUCUUGGCUUCUUGGGCUGUGAAGCUCCUUCUGAAUCCUCUCCAGAAUCUCCACCUGUGUCCCUAGGCAGAGGAAGAGAUUCAGAGUCGUCGUCACUGUCAGGAGCUUCUGAGCUGCUGCUGCUUCUGUAGUCUGGGGGCAACGCUGGUCCUGCAACCUGCCCCAACUCCUCAUCCGGGUCCUCCUCGGCGCGGCGCGGGAAGCCGGGCGGCAGCGCGGGGCCGAUCAGCUCGCGCGCCAUGGUGAGGGGCGG
rnacentral:lncRNA from 1 species